AAGGAAUUGGUGAAUUAUGUCUAUAUAUAACUGAGAAUUCACAACGGACACAAGUCCAAAUCAGUUACUAGUCCAUAGCAACUUUAGAAUAGAGACCGAAGCAUUCAAACAUGAAACUGUAGCCUAUCCUACUAAUUCCCUGAUACUACUACACGUACUAAUCAAAGUGUGAUACCCAUCCUAUUAUAACAUCACUUAAUAGGACAUUACAUCACCUAUCAAUCUGCACAAUGAUACCCAUCCUAUUAUAACAUCGCUUAAAAAGGACAUGCAUCACCCAUCAAUCUGCACAGAUGGAAUCACUUCAAUGAAGAAAUGCAAUUUCAGAAAUUAAAACAAGGGCACAAAGCAUAUACUUUUCUCACCUGCUCAGCUGUUGGCCUUGCAUCAGCAUCUUUCUGCAGGCAAGCCUCAACAAAUGAGCAGAACUCUGGUGAGUAUGAGUCCUCCGGAGGUGUAGGUGAUAGGUCAUACAAGAUCUGCCAUGACACGCAGGUAGGCAUGGAAAUGAUCAACAGAGUAAAAUGGAAAAUAAAUAUUAUUGAUAUUCAAAAAGCAUGAGAUCAUCUAUCCACUCAAUAAUGUUAACACUCAAGGUGCAACUGUUGUUGUUCAUGAAACCAUCUUCAUUGUAAUUUAACAAUUAAAUUAGGAAACCAUUAAACGUAGUGUCAUUUGUGAGCAAUUCUAUGUUCUCUCUCUAAAGCUGCUUAGAGAGAGAGAGAGAUACUAGGGUUCUGUACCUAACUGAAAGGGAAUAUAUUUUAUAAAUCCUCUAGAUAUAUUUUGACAUCCUACAACCAUGUACUGAUGUGUAGUCUUAAGUGUUUAUACACUACAUAAGAUUAUCACCUGCACUCAUACAUGUUCAAGAUGCAAGUUCAAAUAUGCAUUCACACUCAUACAUACAUCAAGUUAUUAUACAUGUACAACGCAUAUUAUUUCGGGCAAGCAUUUCUAUAAAGCAUGUAUACUUACCUGUUAAAAUUCCGUUCAACAUUUUGGGAUAUGCCACUUACCGGAUGGUAUUUAUGGCAUUCAGUGGCAUGAUGAUCCUGGUCAUUACUAAAGAGGAAGAAUAUCAUACAAGGGCUGAUAAAUCUUCAUGCUGUUGCCAUAGAAAUAGGACAAAUAGAAAAAUGCUAUGAUACCUGUAGAAAGCAUUCACACUUUACAUGAAGAAUAAAGUGAAAUCGCAACAAAGGGAAAAAUAUCUCGGAUGGUUGGACAAAGAAAUGAAGGGGAAAAAAUGCAUGCAACCAAAACUUGAAUUGGCCAAGAACGACGAGUUUCUCGACUCAUAUCGAGAAUGCUACGAAGUUAUGGCAUAAGAGGACAUCGAGAUGGAAAGAAUUAGUGAUAGGUGCAGGUGUGGAUUAUUUAAUGGCAUAAAGUUUUAAAAAAAGAAAUCUACUUAAUGAAGCCAAAUGUGACAUUUCAACUAAUGAUCUCUACUCGUUGAAGCAGCACUAUUUAGGCAUCAUCCUAAUUGUAGUAACAUAUUAGACAAGUAGCAACAACAGUCAUUAUGUAUGUGUUGUAUUCAUACAUAAGCCAUUGUAUAAUGGUCAUAAGAGCUAUUAUUUGAACUUUUCACUGUUGACCUAGUUCAAAUAAAUAUUCUUAGCCUAAGUCUGUAUGCUGAUUUCAAAAAUAUUGUAUAAUCUAAAAAAUGACCUACUCAAAACUCGAUGUUAUCGUCUUUCAUCCCAUUAUAACAGCCAAGAUAAAUUAUUUUAGUUAAAAUAUCUUUUCAGAUGGAAAUAGGUUUGAAGCUGGACUAUGAAAAUGCGGCAAUGCCUAGCUAAAAAGUAACUUGAUGGGCUUAUAACCUUGUUCCACCCUGAAAAAUUAUAUAUAUGCUAUAACAAAAAAAGAAAAUGUGAUUACUCAAAUGAAAGCAAAGGUGGUGGUAGAAAUGGAGAAUUUUAUAAUAAAAAAUAAAAAUUUGCACUAAAGCAUGAUGGGAACAAGAUAUGUCCAGUGCUUGACAUAAUGAGCACAUAUCCCAUUGUAUUCUAGAUGUUCUGCUAGCUUGGAACCAACUGCUGUUCUUCUUAUUUACAGUUAUUUCUUGUAUGCAUUCUGUCCAUCAUGAGGCUUGGGCUCUCAACAAGCACACACAUGAGAUCAUUUUCCGAUCCUGCCAGGAAGGUCUGUAACAUUGAUCUACAAAAUUAGGAUUCAUUCAGAAAGGACUAUAGAGCACUGGCAAAGCUUGUUUAGAGGAGCACCAGUUUAUUUUAGAGCUUAAAACAAGGAAAUUAACCAUUGGCCUUUGCUCACUGUCUAAACUGUCUCACAGUUGGCUGCAUUAUUUAAUGAACAUCAAAAUGUAUUAGCAGUUUUCUAAGAAAGUCUAAUUGCAUGCUAUCCUUCUGCAAUUCUCAAGAUUCAAGAUAUUUUCUGAGCUCCUACAAGGCUCCUCAAGCCUGGUGCAUAUGUUUCUAGCACAUUCUCCUUCAAGGACAAGUUUAUUGGGACAUGAUCCUCGCUGGUGAUGACAUCAUGAUUGCCAUCUAAAAUUGUACCUCCAACAUUAGUUCGACCUCCAACAUUAGUUUGAAAGGAAAGACCUUAACUCCCUCCACAACUUAAAACUUGGGCUUGCCUUCCUCACAAGGUAUUUGUUAUUGCAGUAUAAACACACUUUCAUUUUAAUUAUUCAUGCUUGCUUAGUUGACAGUGACACUGACAUCGUGGAUGAAUUAAUGGAGCUUCAUUUGAAGCUUUGUCCGACAAAUUGCGAACCACAACUAAAUCCUAGUUGGUAUCACUAGCUCAUAGAUGAUCUAAUCUAUAUGGCUAGCUCCACGCAAACAAUUGCACCCGCCACACUAUACGUGGGCCAGUUUAUUAUUUCUCUGCAUUUUCUUCAUUCAAUAACCAUAUUGCACAUUCUUUAAUAUAUUACAGGGGCUUUUAGUCUUUUGCUCUUCUAUUUUGAUUGUAUCCAAAGCAUUGAAUAUCAUUCAUGCUAAUUGAGUUGAUGAUUGUACUAAAGAGGAUCAAGUGAUGAUAACCAAAAGGACAAUCCAAGGGGAUGUCCACGACCCAAUAUCAUACUGUUCUAGGGGUUACUAAGUAUAGGUCUUGUUUAAAUGGAAGGUUCAAUGUACAUCAGAAGUGUUGGUUCUUGAUUUUAAAUUGAUGAUGUUCUAAGUCAUGCUUAGAUAUAAGAUCCACAUAGGGUUCAUAUUAUUGAUUCUUGAUUUUAUUAUAGUUCAGGUUUUAAGUAGUAAUGAACCUUGAGUCACAAGUUGUACCAUCUCUAAAUUAUGGGGGCCUACAACUUAAAUAAGAGGGCUUCAUAUAUGCUUCGUCAUUUCAGUAAGGGCCCUAACUCAUAAAUAGAGGAUGAAGUGAUGGCAAGCUUGCAUAAAAGCAGACCCGUAAGAGGGCAAACAGGAUUUAAAUGUUUUCUCAGGCAAAGGAGCUGAAUAACAAAACUACGCGAAAUCAGUUACAACCUGUCAAGUGGAGGCUGGAAAAAUCAAAAUAGACAACCAAUAAACACUCCAAUAGAGAGGAAAAGAGGAACUACUACUAGGGGAAGCAGUUAACUGGAAUAAUAUGAACAUAUGAAAUCAUGGCGGUCUGACUGCUAACAAUUCAUGAUUUCUUCAAGCUAAGUGCCACAAAUUGACCAAGAUGCUUAAUUGUUAAGUUGAAAUCCAACAUCCAUCAAUGAAUCACUAAAGCGAACUCCUCACUACAUCAGGUACAGAAGUCUUGUUAUGUGCUGAGUUUUCGUAACAGAUUCUCAAAUUGUUUGAUUCUAGACAUGGGUCAUAUAAUACUACAAUUAAACCAUAGAGAUGAACAGCAAAUGACGCAGUCUUAGAUAAUUGAUUGCCUGCUUCUACUAAAAGUACACAAAGAUCUUUGCUUAUAUGUUAUUUGGAGAACAAGUUGAAAAGAUGCAAUAUUUUUUGGACUCCACCAAAUAGGUAUAUGGCAGAUAGAUGCAACGCAGAAUGGCAACCAAAAAGAUGACUACCAAUCAUACGACUUAAAAAAAAAAAGAACUAGUAGUACCUAUCAUGUUCUCAAACUUAAGCUUUUUCAAAAAACUAUAAGAUUUUCCUUGGAUUCAAAAUCCACCAAUAUAACUAUUCAUAAUAGAUUGUUGAUGACACCUAUUUGACUAUUCAAAAAGUGGUGACAGUUGUAUUGCUUUAAUAUAAGAAACUAUUACUUCAAAUGAAUCAGAAUAGCAAAUGUAGUUCAGAAUGAAGGCAUGAUUGAGAAAAAUAAAAACGAAGAAAAUAAAAAACAAUAAGAAAUUUUACCAAACACUAUUUUACCUGCAACAUAAGAUUGGCAGGUCCUUCGUUUGCUGUAUAUGGAAAUUUUCCUGUGCCGCAUUCAAAUAUGGCUAAUCCAAGGCUCCAAAUGUCAGCUGGGUAUGAGUAGUUCUCAUUUCGAAUUCUCUCAGGUGACAUGUAAGUAACAGUACCAACGAAGGUAGCACACUGUCAGAAAAUAUGGAGAGAUGUUACAAAUAUAUACCCUUAAGUUCCACGUCGAAUAGAAGUCAGUUGCAAAAAAGCAACCCUUUAAGAAUCAAAGGCUUGGAAAGUGAUCAUAUUAGAAGAAAUAAACUCAGUGAUUACUAGUAUUGUACGAGAGAUAACAGACCAUCGCCAUUGAAUUCUCUAAGCCUGCACUUAUUCCAAAAUCAGUAAUUUUCGGCUCCCCCUUGAGAUUUAUGAGCAAAUUUGCAGGCUUUAUAUCUCUGUGCACUAGAUGUCUUGUCCCAUGCAAGUAGCUCAACCCCUUGAAAGUUAAAACAUCUAACUGAUCAUACAGAUAAAUAAAUAGGGCACAACAUAAACUAAUAAUAAGCAAUUAUGGAAACAGCAAAUACAAAAAAGAAAUAAUCUUACUCGCAGCAAUUUUUGAACCAUAUGUGAAAGAACUGGCUCUGGUAUACAUUUCUUCACCCUCAAAACAUCUGCAAGUGAACCCCCAUCCAUGUAUUCCAGGGCAAUACUAAUUUGUCCUGAGUCAGGGGAAUAAAAUGCUCCAUGGAAUUCAACUAAACCCGGAUAGCAAGAUGCCUCACAUAGUGUCCUUAUCUCAUUAAGAAGUUGUUGCCUUUUCUCCUUUAAGGGGUAAGAAAAUAUGCAUAACUAACCAAUAUGUUGCAUUCAUCAUAACUUUGAACUUCUCUAAGUACUAAAUAUGGGUGACUAAAUGUAACAUCCAGCUUUAGAUGUCUACACAUGCAACAAAAUCUCUAAAAGAAUGAACAGAUUUUUUAAAUUGAAUGUGCAUGAUUAAUUGCAUGUAUGCUUAUACCGAACGAUACUGAAAAAGAAAAGACCAAAAAUAACAGUAUGGUGUCCGCUAUGAUCACAAGCAAGCNNNNNNNNNNNNNNNNNNNNNNNNNNNNNNNNNNNNNNNNNNNNNNNNNNNNNNNNNNNNGCGGCGGAGUAAGAAAGAGAGAGAGAGAUGAUAUGCAAACAAUUCACCUUGCAUUGAGAAGAUUCAAGAGCCAAUAAAUGACACAGUUGAUGCAGAUGAAAAGGUUCUAGAGGCAAUGUUGGUUCCUUAUUUUUCAAGUAGGGUUUGCACAUGGAGACACACUAUAUUAAAGCUUAGCAUUAUCAAGCAGAUGAGCAAGGAAUUUUGAUGCAUUAGCCCCCCUUCUUGACACAAUUCCAAAACAGUCCCAUUUUCUUAUGGAAAGGCAUCCAUUCUCUGAUUUUUUUUGUGAAAGGAAAAAAAGCCUCUGUCAAUGAAAUAAACAUUGAAUUUUGUUGAUCUCUUCCAUUUAAAUGGUUAUUUUAACCUAAAACCCUUCCAAUCUAAAAUGGACCCUUCUAACUUUUAAUGGUAGUACUUUCAUUUUCACUUAAACCGUGUCCCUGCUAUAGUAUACAAUUUAGUUCAUGAGAACUGUGAAUCAGCAACCAUAUGAUGUACGUCAUGGGAGGCUUCUGGAUCUAAUCCACAGCUUGUUAUAUGAUCAUGGCUUAACUACCAGAUCAUUUACAUUAAAAUUAGUUAUAGUUAUUUAAAAGAAUGAUUGCAAGGCAGCUAAUUUUUAGUUAGAUGAGAGGUGUUGAUUUCUCUUGUUGACCAAAAGUUAGAGGCCCAAUGUCUCUCUUUUCUUAAUAAAAAGGGGGACUGUUUGGGGAUCGGGUUGAAAAACGAGGAUUACUGUGCAGCAAAAGGAAGUUCUCAUGAGCAAAAAGUUAAUCUGCUACAUUUUAUGGCAAUAACUAAAAUUUGAUCAAAGGUAUCUUAAAAGAACUUCUAGGAGUGAAGAUGAACUUCUGCAGACAUAUCAGGGAUUUGACUGCUCCUCACUACAGGUUUCAACUUUGGGUAGUUCAAGAUAUUUGGCUUGUAUAUGACAUGUAUAAGACUGAAGUCCUGAUGGAGGUAGUUGGUCUUUAAUGAUUGUUUAGGAAAUAAAGAGCUACAUGUGAGACCAACUUAAGUGAUUCAAUAUUAGAAACCAUGGAUGCAGUUUUAAGCUGGCGCAAAUAUGGAAAGAAACAGGAGCAAAAUUUUAAACCUUCUCAAAUACGUUUAUCUUCUUCAGGGCCAAAAUUCGGUGAAUGGGUACAUAUAUUGCUCUCUGAACUACACUGCUUGCUCCACAACCUAUGGCUCCAAAAAUAUGCAUAUCACGAGAAGCACAUCGAUACAUCUUUUCUCCUUCCACUUCAUCCACUAUUCCUGCAGUACGCUUUUGCAGACCUAGUUCAUUAAUAUUGUACACUCCACAUGAUCUGCUCAACAAGUUGACUGUUCCACCUUCUGAUACCUUCAGAACACCAAAAGUAAUUUGUUUCUUUCUUAUCAAAAGUAAUAAGCUGUGAUUUAGAUGGUAAUAUGUAUGGCACACAAUGAGCACGUUUCUGGAAAAACUGAAGCAUACUGACUUAUAUUUAAAAGAGAUAUCUAUUAGUGUCAACGAGCACAUGAUAACAUGGAUAUAUUACACAUCUUAGUAAAUGUAGAUAGAAUAAUGUUAGAAGCUUGUAUUGCCAAAAAAAAUUUUAAAAAAAAAGUUGAGCAAAAUUCCCUAUCCAUGUUUAGCAUAAAGAAUAACAAAAGAACUUAGUUUUUUCGGAAGGAAAAUCCACCAAAUGAGGCUACCUUUGUAAGAGGAAAUGGUGCGCCAAUCAGUUUUGUGUCAUCUAUUUACAAGUGUAUUACCUAGUAGUGCAAAUUCUAUAGUCAAAAAGGAAAAAAGAUAAAUAAAUUAAAAAUCAAAUUAAAAUAAUUGACCUUAAUCUUAAAGCAAGGAAACCUCGUUUUUUCCAUUUUUACUGAAUUGGUCGGAGCGUAGACGAGCGAGCAGAGCCCAGGAAAGUUUGCCUUAUUUCUCUAGCAAGCAUUGUAGAUGAUUAAAAUCUCAUAAGAAAUCCCACACACAUGCAUUGCGCACUUAAAAACUUGCAUGCACACAUGCAUACAUGAGAGACUAUACUUCCUCUCUUUAUGGGACAAAGAUUAAAGUUUCCACUGUAACACUGGGGGAAUAAAUUCUAAGCAAGAAGACAAUGCCCUAUCCAGUAUGUUGGCGACAUAAGCUUGGCAAAGCAUUACUUGGUUUUGUUUCUCGAUGUCAACGUAGAGCAAUUUUCUAGAAAUUUGAUUUUUGUACUGAAAUACUUAACCAUAUAUGAGUCACAAGGAUCCAAUGGCAUCCCACUCAAGGGCCCUUUUUCUGAAUCAAAUAAGGGCUCUAAUCUCUUUUUCAGCUCCUCCAGGCCAGCCAUAAUGACUUAUUAUCACUCCAGUCUCAGCUCAUAAUCAAACGCAGAAUGCCGAUAAUCCCUAGGAGAAGAACACGGGUAAGUAUACACUGCAACUUAAUCAAAAUUUCACAUUGUCAGAGUUAGAGCGAUAAUAAGAAAGUGGCCAUAACCAUUACUAGACACAAUAAUUAAAAUGGAAAUUUCAGUAGGAUUGAUUAUUGUUCUACAAUCAAAUCACAAAUCAAACAAAAUCACCGUCACCACAAAAUAUUGGUAAGUUUUCACAAAUCAAUAUUCAUUAACCAUCAUCAAAAUUCGAGAUUCUGCGUAAGCGGGUCAAAACCAAUGAUCAGAAAAGCUGUAGAAAUUGGAGGGAACUAAUUAAAUGGGCUUGAGAUUUUAAAGCACUAAUAAGGAAAAGCAAAAAAGUAUGUACACUAAUCUGAAACAAAAUUGUUAUUGCUUCAAAUUCUCUGCUCGUUUUGUCCCACUAAAAUGCAAUGGACUCGCUACUCUCCACUUUAGCGACUAUUCACAUAGAGGGGAUUUGAGAACUGUCGAAUUUCCUAAAAGCCUUUUUUCUUGAAGCACAUCUAGUACGGAAAAAUAGUCAAUAAUUUGCACUGGCCAAGAUUAGACAAAAAACAAACAAGAAAUAAGGAAAUCCACCAUAACCAUUCUUCCUUUCUAAUAUCUCAAAUUCCUAGAAAGGCUAGAAUGCUUCUAUUCUUUUCUUCUUUUUUUUAACUACUCGGAAGUUUUCAUCGCAAUGUCCAAAUUCUUAAAAACAAAAGAAAAAAGAAAAACAGAAACCCAUAAAUCACUGAACUCAUUAUUUUAUGUUCUCAGUACAUAACAAACGGAAACGAGGGACGGAAUCAAGGAUACAAUCGGCAACCAAUUUCCCAUCAAAACAGAUAAUUUUAGUACGAGAUCACACCUAUGAGCGAAAAAGAAUUCAAGAAUUGAAAAAAAGAGAAAAAAUCGAUAGAAAGCAAACUUUUAGGGGAAGAAGGACGCCGUUCUAAAUAGUGCUUACCGAUAGAAAGCGGAGAAAGGAAGUCCAAAGAUUAACAAUGGAUUUGAUCGAAUUGAGAUCAUGCUCCGAUUCCGCUGGCAGCCUCCGCGCUCGUAUUUUUAACCCCUUCUCUUAUUUCUUUUUUUAAUAAAGAAAUCUUUACCUCGUUUCAUGUUUUAAAUCACCGGAUAUUGAAGCGCUUGGCCACGUGUCGGUCGCCCCUCCCGAAAUGGACCGCCGAGCGCCUGCCACGAUUACCGCCAAUGCGUGGUAUCGCAUCUCCCGUUCGCGUGCGCGCGAAGAUCCGCGCUACCUGCGGCUCCGGCAUCAAGAGUCAUGCCCUCAGGCGAGAGAGCGCACGCAGAAAUAGGCGUGCUCGGACUUCUCCGGAGGAGUCGCCGCGGCCACACUGGUUUGACACAUGGAAGCAACACGCGGCUCUUAAAGCUCGAAAGUGGAAAAUUGCCGAGCAUUGCUUUAAACGGAACCCAACCUUUUCUUUUUGUUCCUCUCACUCCUUUCAAAUAGAACAUUAAUUGGGUGGGAAAAGAUCAUGCAUUUUGGUGAUAAUUGGAACCAAAUCCGCUGGCCCAAGUCAAAUUCUUUGGUUUCGGUCUGACUAUAGCUUUAGAGAAUAAGCAAUCCCAGCCAGAUCCUUCAUGUUCAGAGAUAACUGUAAGGUUAUAAUCCUGCCAACGAGCCCGAGAAGCAGAUCUGCAUAACAUGUAUGCAAGUAUCUUACCAAGAAGGAAGGAGAUUACAAAGUGACAAAUAAAUAUUUUCUUAUGAACGGAAGAGUCAUGGAGGUAUUUUGAAAUCAACGUAUACUGUUUGAGAGGAAAGAGCGGGUAUUUUGAAAUCAACGUAUACAAUAUGCAACUGCCAUUUGUGAUCUCUCUAUCUCCAUGCAUUGAGAUGCCACUGUGAUAUAUAUUAACCUUGCUAAUGUUGGGACAUAGAUUUCGAAACGGAAGCUUCAAGGUAGAGUUCCCCAACCAUCCAUCUUCCUUGCUAGUACCAGAUUCGAAGCUGACACAGUUUCCAAAUUGCAUGUAGGUCCUUACCAAUGGCUUGGAUAAGUUUCAGGAGCAAAAUGUGUCCCUACUAAUUGACUGUAUGUUGGAUCUGUCGUGCGAACUUUUUUUUUUGGUUGCAUCCAUAGAUGUACUCGAUGCAUGGAUAAGAAGCCAGGUGCCAGCAUGAAUGAUAGAUGAGAAAUAUGCUUUGGUCGGGCGUUUCUGCAUCUUAUGCCUCGUGGACACCACACUUUCAACCCAAUCCAACCAUUGAAGUACUUGUUUCUAUUAAUCAUCCCUUGCUAGUUUGUGUUACCAGCUGGAACGUGAUCCUGUUAAUUAUGCCUCAAAUAUUAAUUUGGUCUGGAAAGAUCCUCGACCUUUUUAUCUUCUUCUUUUUCUUUUUUUUCAAUCUAUCAGACCCAGACCCCAUAAACAACAUACGAGAUGAAAGGUGGCACGGUGCAUGCGAGCUCGCCAAGUAAUGACACCACCGCGGCGCCACACGUGUCAUCCCUACAGACACGUACAUGCGCCGUCCCUCUCUACCUCCAAGUUCCUUUAUAAACUCCACCACCACGACCAUCACCUCCUCGCCUCCUCCGGUUGGCGGUAACUUAAUCUCCUAGAGUUGCAGUCAAUUGAUGGCGGAGCGGCACCACCAGGCGCCGCCACCAGCGGCGAUGGAGGAGCUCACCAAGGGCCUGCUCCGUGAGAAGGGUCCUUCGGCCUCGCAGGUCCUGGCGGUGGUCACUCUUCUCCCCAUCGGCGGCAUCCUCCUUGCCCUCUCUGGCAUCAUCCUCGCCGGCACCGUCAUCGGGCUCGCCGCCGUGACGCCGCUGUUCGUGAUCUUCAGCCCGGUGCUGGUACCAGUGGCGUUGGCGAUUGGACUGGCGGUGAUGGGUUUCCUCGCGUCGGGGGCGUUCGGGCUGACGGCGCUGAUGUCACUCUCGUGGGUGGUGAGCUCCGUCAAGGGUCGUCGAGGCCCGAAGCGCAGGCCUCCCCGGGUUCCAGCUGCCCGUUAAGUCGACUUGAAUUUUAGUCUUCCAAAUAGACCUCGUCUUACUUUGUACAAGUUGAAAACUUCCAGCCUCGUAUUAUAUAUGUCGGAGUUUUUGCUACAUGCACCUCAAACAUGCCUGUCCAUGCGAUUAAGUGGAUUCUGUGUAUGCUGUUUCCACCCUUUCGCUUGGCAGGAGGGUGGAAUAUUAAUUUCAGAAGAAGAAAAGAAGGAAAUUGCAGGAAAAAGUUUUUUUUCUUUUUUUUUUGUGGGGGGGCGUGCGGGGGCAAAAUAUAUAUAUAUAUAUAUAUAUUGUCACGCUUGGAGGUGGUUUGAGAUGAUCAUCUGAUCAGUACCUUAGUCAUAGAUCCCAAACCGAUAUUUUGUUUCCUUGAGCCCAGCACAUAAGAGUGGUUCUUUGCAAGAUUCAAGGAAACUGCCGUCAUACACUUUUCACCUUGCCGAAUGUAAAUUACUUGCGUCUUGAUGUAAGGUUUUUGAGUUGCAUACGGAUACGAUUAGAAUACUGCCUAUCACUCUAUCAGUCAGGUGCUUUGUUGCACGUAUCUCCUUUCUGAUACAAAUAUAAUUCAGUUGGUUUAACUUUUUCUAAAAACAAACAAUGGAAAGGUAUACAAUAAUUAUAAGUGAAAAAUGCGUUUUCCAAACGAGACAGUUCUGAGAAAUGGCCGGUAAGUUGAAAGAUGGUCGCAGACCAAACUCAAAACUCAAGCCAAACUCUCAAGCCUACCGUGUCGUGCUGAAGUGCUAGGAGUGUGUGUCUAUAUAUAUAUACACACACACAUAUAUAUACACAUAUAUAUAUAUAUAUAUAUGUAUAUGUGUGCAUAAAUAUGUAUAUAUAUAUAUAUAUAUAUAUAUAUAUAUAUANNNNNNNNNNNNNNNNNNNNNNNNNNNNNNNNNNNNNNNNNNNNNNNNNNNNNNNNNNNNNNNNNNNNNNNNNNNNNNNNNNNNNNNNNNNNNNNNNNNNNNNNNNNNNNNNNNNNNNNNNNNNNNNNNNNNNNNNNNNNNNNNNNNNNNNNNNNNNNNNNNNNNNNNNNNNNNNNNNNNNNNNNNNNNNNNNNNNNNNNNNNNNNNNNNNNNNNNNNNNNNNNNNNNNNNNNNNNNNNNNNNNNNNNNNNNNNNNNNNNNNNNNNNNNNNNNNNNNNNNNNNNNNNNNNNNNNNNNNNNNNNNNNNNNNNNNNNNNNNNNNNNNNNNNNNNNNNNNNNNNNNNNNNNUAAUAUAUAUAUAUAUAUAUAUAUAUAUAUAUAUAUAUAUUGCUACACCAAAUAGCUCAUAUAAAUCUAAUAUAAAUAUAUUUAAAAAAAUUAAAAUAUAACAAAGUUAUGGAGCGCCUUAGAUGGCUCUCUCUCAUCAGUCCAACCCCCGACUCGCGAAAAAUUUUAUCGGAUGUCUAGUCAAACAGAGUCGAACAUGUUAUUGGCACCCCACUGAGAAUCCUUCAGCAGUGAUUUGGCGCGUCCGUCAUCACCACCGUUCUCAUACAGAUAGCGCCAACUCAACGUUUCGGCUCGCAUGUCCACCUUCCUAGUGCUCGUAGUUGCACAACUAAGAGGAAGCUACCUCUGUUAAUUAUACAUAUGCAGCGCGCUUGCAUGGAAGUCGACCGUUACCCUUCUUAUUAACAGGCUUAGGAAGUUGCCUGGUUAAGCUGUUCUAUGCUAAAAAUGCAGCCAUUCAGCUCAAAAUCAGAUCAUAAGAACAACUGCAUUCAAUUUAAAAGCGCAAGCAGAUUUACAAGGACAAACAGGAGCAGGGAAAGAACUAUUUCACACUGAAGAUGUGCUGGAUUUACAACAGCUCUAGGUUUGCAAGCCUGACCUGCUUAUGGAAUGGCAAGUAGUCUUUCAAAGAAAUGCAUGUCCGACACAUCACACGUGCCAAGAAAAUGCGCAUGCUAGCUUCAGCUUCAUUGAUGCCGUCUUGCCUGGGAAAGCCAUUUCCAUUAGCUAACUGUGCUGCCCAUGUGCAGAUUCGCUCUGUGGAUGACCAUAGCUUAUCAACCAAAGGCCCUGAAAUGGCACCCCAGCUGCUGUCUGACAGAAGCGAUGGCAGGGUAACUGGCAGGUCACUUAAGACGCUGGUUGGAUUGAUGAUCAGAAGUGGCAUGUACAUACAACAGCUACCUGCUAGCAAACCUAUAAACUGCAGUGCCUGAAAAUUUUUGAUAAAAAAACGGGGCACAUAUCAUCUUUCAAAGCCAACUUUUAUACCUAAUAACCUAAUAAAUGAUUGAUCCCAACCCAUGAUGAAGUGUAGAUGCAAAAAUGCAUAUCUCAAUGUUAUUUGUAUUUUUACCUUCCAUUUAUACUUAUCCCUUGGUUCCAUCGGUUAGGGUCAGGUUUGUAAAUCAUAAUUUUCACCAUUAAACUAGAUCUGGAUAUGAUAGAAAUAGAGUUUGAUAACUUGUUUGCAGGUGUGCUCUUGCAAUUCUAAUCAGGAUUAGUUAAACAAAUGAAGUCUCAGAAAAAAAGGAAAAAAACAGACAAUUUAACCUGAAGGGUAAUGAGAAGAAAAAAGAUAUAAAAUGACAUUGGGAGAUGAUAUGUUGUGAGAGAUUUAAAGACAAUCUAAAAGAAGUCAGUGAUACAGAUAUCCCUAAAAUAUUCCUGUGCAGGGCAAGAUUCAAUUGCAGAAUAUGGAUUUGAUUGUUCAAUUCGCAUAUCGCCCCCUUUUUUUGUUAAUGAAAGAAUAAAGUACUUGUGCUUUCAUAAAGAACUUUAGGGAUUCACAUAAAGAUUUAGAAUGUGUAUUAUUUUAUGUAUGCUAAUUAGCGAUGGUGUCAUGUACGUGCAAAAAGGCAUUUUCAAAAAAAACAUGAGACCUCCGAGGAGCAUGGCUAUAUGUCAGUGUGUGCAAAUGUAAAGAACUAGAUGAAAUCACUCAAAGCUAGGUUAAGCUGUCUACAGAUGCUUAAAAAAGAAAUAUUAUCUGAAACUUCUCUAAGCAACUACAUCAAAAGAAUUCAAAAUAUAAAAAAGAAUCGUGCUAUCUAAGUUAUAAUGUUAAAUAUGAAAUGUGCUCACCGUUGCAGGGUAUUCUGUUAUGCAGCAUAUCUCUAAUGCAUCAAAAAGCCAUCGUCUUUUGAUACCAACUUCUGCACUGGAUAUAGCUGCAACAACUUCCACAAUAACACUCCACCAGAUACCUGUUAUUUAAAAUAUUCUUAAAAUGCCAAAUAGUAUGCAACAUAAACUGCUUGUCCCGAAUAUGCAGGAUAAAGACUGUCCCCACCCCCCCAAAAAGAAAAAACAAUGCAUACAAAAAAAGGGAGCAUCAAAAUAGCCAUUAUCAUAUUUACCAUGAGUGUUCCUUGCCUCGUAUUUCGUUAAGGGCAAAGGUAGCAAUCGCAUCCAUUGAAAGCGAAAAAGACAGAUAGAAGUAGAAAAUAAAAAUAUUAAGAUCUAUCCUUUGAACUAUAAUUUAUAAAUAAACUCCUCAGAUAAUAGACUUGUUGAUUUUGAAAGGCAAAAAUUUAAAGAAUCUUUCUACGUUAUGUUCAUUGCUGAAACUCUUAUGAACUAAUGUUGUUUGAUGCAGAGGUCGUGAUCAAUUAAGUUGCUCAUAUAUAUUAUAGAGCCGCUGGCCAUUCUAGACAUCACUCCAUGUAAUCGGCCAUCAUACAAGAUUAAAAACCAUUGUAACUGCAUAUAUUGUAGAAACUUAUGAAGGGCAUUCAGUUCUUUUGACCCCACAAGUGUUUAUGGAAUAGCAUGGCCUAAUAUCUUACAUCAUAUGAUCCUAUCACUUCCUCUCUUCGAGAGAAUGGAUUGAGACAGAUUAAAAGUACAUUACACAGAUAUGGGCGAGGUCCAAACAAUCUGGGGUCUUAGGAGGUGUAAAUUGGGGACAGACCUAACCUUCGACAUUUUUAUUACACAAAAUGGCUGCCUCAAGAUGCGAACCUGUGCCAUCGUGCUUGUUAGCCCAAGCCUUUUACCAUUGCACUAUGAAAUGACCCCAAUCAAGUAAUAACCUGAGACAAAUUUCCUUAUUGGUUUUAAAGAUUAUAUUACCAGUCAAUUCUCUUCAUAUAGCACUUUACACUUAACCCUAAACCAUUAUUUUCCUAAAAGUUAAAUGCCCUACAACUUUCACUUCUAAACUCUCCUAUUUGAUGGUGAUUUCCCAAAAUGUCUUUAUUUCGUUUUAUCUUUUUAAAUUUAAAGUCUAUUUUUUAUUGCCCACGUGAAUUUAAAUCAGGAAAUAAUGAGAUCCAUUAUCCACUAUUGUGUUUCCAAUUGAAUCUUAUGUCAUUUGUCCAAUACCCAAGAAAUUUGAAAUUGUUGGUGUAUGGCUCAAAGCAAAUCUACGUAAAUCACUUUCAGAAAACUCCAAGAUAAAGUCCAACAACAUGGGAGUUGAUCUGGGAAGGUAUGUGUCAUUGAAAGUAAAUUCAAUCAAACUGCUGCAGUACCAGCCUUGCAGUGUGGAUCCACCCAUGCACCUCUCUCAAUAGAACUUGGACAAUCUUUUGUCUUCGCUACGAAGAAUUCAUGAACUCCCCAUCUUUGCCAAACUCUACAUUUGUACCAACAAGCGAGGUUUUAAAAACUGCCAGGACAGGAUGAUACAAGAAAUACCGAAUCAUUCCGGCUAAAAAUAGGCACCAAUACAUAGUGUGUCACUACAAAGGGCAGUCCCUUACCGUGCAUCGGUACCCAAAACUGUCGUUCCAGCAAAACCAUGAUACAUGACCCAGUACCAGUAUUUGAAACCUUGCCCUACAGGUCUCCAAGCAAGAAAAUGUUGGCAUGUUUGCACUUACAGUCACGAUCUCUCCAUCCAUAACCUCCACUUAAGGAGUUAGAAAACUUCCAAGCUCACCUUCUGAUUUUCUUUUAAAUUACUUAUGCACUAUUGGUUUUGCCACUCAUAACCACACCCAAAGUAAGCACCAUUUGGAGCCAGUGUAGUUCAUAUAAGUCCAUAAUAUUUUUGUUAUGGAAUUCCUAAUAGAGUUACCACCUAAUGUUCCAUGAGCUUACCUUACUAUUAUAAUUUAUAUGCACCAUUGCUCCUGUUAUGUACAGUCAAUUUUAAUGUAGUAAAUAUUCAUUUCUUCUGUUUAACAUUGCGGUUUUAGGUUUUUUGACUCUCUUGAUCUUCUGGCUAUCAAAGCCUAUACUUUGAUCCUUAGCUCCAAGUCACUAGUAACUUUUGAGCUCUGAGAUCCUACCAUCCGUUAAAUCCUAGGUCAGAGUGACCUCAUUUGACAUUUUGGACUGAAAAGCAACUAUGCUCCACCUGUUAAUUCCCUGAUCCAAUCCAACCAUCCUUAGUAAGAAAUCAUGAAGGGGUCACCAUGCUAGUUUUACAUAGCUGUCACGUGCUUAACACUGAUGCCAGAGACAUGUCUUGGAAUCUUCCACUCAAGAUAUAUUGUCCUCAACUCACAAGAGCUAUUUUAGUAACAAUAAUAGGGAAUAUUGCAAGUUGCCCAACAAUGAACGACCAGAGAUCCUCGCUUCGUUAUAGUGGGAAUGUUUGUGAUAUUUGCAACUAUUAGACUCGGUGAAUAUAUAUGUAUUCCCAUGUCUUCUACAGUUCUACCUAUGCAACACAGUAUGUGGAUGUGAAAAAUCAGUACGACUAUAAUUGUGUUUGAGUUGCAGAAGUUUUUUGGUAGGAUUUGAGUUGCAGAAGUUGACCUUCAGUUUUUGCAUUCAAUAUGUAUGCUCUUAGCUCCCCCAGUUCAGAAACUGGAGCACAUCCAAUCCUAACUAGCCUGGCUUUGGCUAAAAUUCGUUUUGCCACUUCAUUAGACUGGGUUCCUCCAUGAAACAGGUCUGAAACGGGAACCUGUAAAAAGGAACAUAAGCUAUAAAUACCAAACAGCAUAAAAAAAGUGCAAUAAAUACCAUUCUAGUAAUAACAACAAAAAGGGUUUCAAGGUCUCCAAUAAUUUGAAGAAAAAAAAAACUGAAGUCUUAUUUUCAAAUUUGAAACUUUCCAUUUCUACAGAUAACCUGGCAAAUUCAGUCAUGCGAUGCAGAACAUGUGCAAAUAUAUAGCUUCUACAAACAAGACACAAGGGUUGAGCAGUCUGAGUAUAUGUUUAUAUGACGUUAUAGAUAGACCACAUAAAGGAAUAUUUAGAAACAAAUUACAAGGGAAGUAUACGUACUUGCAGCAUAUCCAUCAGCCAAUCUUGUGGUGCCUUAGCCAAGCAUCUUACAGCUUCUGACCACUCCUCUACAGGAGCAACCUGCCCCCCUUCUGAAAUGACAUCACAAGUCAACAAAGGCAAAAAAAAGAACAAGCACUCCAUGCAUUUUUUCAUAUUCAAUAUAACUGACUCUUCAGAGGUCUCAGUGAGGCAUUGACAAAGCCCCUUCCAAAAUGAAACUCUCAAUAACCUUCUCUGAUCUGGUCCAUAAACCAAGUAUGAAGAAGCUGAGGAAUUGAAGUAGUUGACCAAAUCAUCAUACAGUUUUUCUAACCUCAAACCAGAAAAUAGUUUUAAAAAGUCAGACAGGUGGUCGAGCAGUAAUGAUUGCAGAUUUGGCUCUAGUGUCCUGAACCUGGAUAACUCUGUGAGCUCAUCCAAGAAAUGCAGGAGGUGGCUGACAUCAUUUGCAUGAGCUAGAGAGAAAAGUAUACAUUCUUCUCUAAGUAAUUUCGAAGACAGUUCCAUCUGCACCUUGAUAGACGACUGGGCUUCAUACCUCAUGCAACGUCUGACGAUAGCGCCCCAAUCUAAAGUAGGCAAUCUAGGAGCCUCUGAGAGGCAUCUUAAAACAGUUGCAAUUGUGUUUGCAUGUGGUAUCUCACCUGUCUGCAAGUUAGUAAAACAAGUAAAUAUACAACUAAAAGCUUGGUAACAAGAACUGACAAGAUCAAUAUUAAUAUAAAUCAUUUAAGGACGUAUUCACUUAGAAGUGCACACCCUUUUGCCAUAAAGUCAAAAAUUGUCAGCAAAAAUAAAGCAAUCAAUAUGAAUUCCAGAUAUUGAAUCCACAAUUAUCUUCCAAACAAGAUUCAACUUUUUAAGCUUCUUUAACUUGCACAUAUACGUUCUUAUAUGGAAACUGAUUGUCAGGUUUUGUAUGUAAUAUGUAUAAACCAGAAUCUCAUGUAUCAAUUGUGAAUAUUAUAUCUAUAGGAUAUAUGGCCAAACCCAACUAGUUUGGGAUUAAGGCUUAGUUGAGUUAUGGCCUGGUGCAACUUUAUAAGUUGAGGCCAAUUUCACACAUUAGUCAUUCUUUAAUAAUUACCUAGUCUCCAGUCCUCUCAAUGAAUUGAGCUCAUUAUUUUGACCAAACUUAACUUAGUGUUCCAUGGCAUUAUUGUACCCCCGUAAUACCUGUCUCUAUUAGUAACAUGUUGCAAACAUUGUAAUUGUUGAACACUUAAUUUUCCAGAAUUACUGGUGCACAACUUGCCUUAUUGGUUAACUAUACUGCAUACCACGUCUAGAACUACUCAUCAUAUGACACCUGGUGGAUCAACUUAAUUUUAGUAGCUGGCUACAAAAUUUAAUAAUGUUCUAUGGGCUCUUAAAUAUAAUCUUUAUAUUUACGGGAUAUAUGGCCGACCCCAACUAGUUUAGGAUUAAGGCUUACUUGAGUUGAGUAGAGUUGAUGGCCUAUUGCAAUUGUACAAGUUGGGCCAAUUCCGCACAUUAGUUAUUCUUUAAUAAUUACCUAGUCUCCCAUCCUCUCAAUGAAUUGUGUCUCAUUUUUUUGACCAAACCUUGGUCAAGUCUUCCAUGGCCUUAUUGUGCCCCUCUAACACUUGUCUCUAUUAGCAACACAUUGCAUCAUUGGAACUGUUGAACACUUCAUUUUUUCCCGAAUAUGUGCACAACUUGCCUGGUUGGUUAACUACCCUGCAUACCAGUUCUGGAGCCACUUAUCAUACGACACCUUGUGGAUCAACUUAUGAUUAUAUUUUAGCAGCUGGCUACAAAAUUCGUAAUGUUCUCCAGGCACUUAACUCAAGUAUAAACAUAUUUAAAUUCUAGCAGUGGCCCAAAAAGUUAAUAAUGUUUUUUUUCAGGUUCCUAAUUGAACUAUAAACUCAGUUUCUAUAAGUCAAAUAGAUGCUUCUUGUUAUUUACAUAUUCCUUGUAAAGGCUAAAAGUUCAGUAAGACCAUAUUUUUAAGGUAGCUUUAUCAUUUUUGAACACCUUCAUGCCCUAUAUCUAAUGUUUCUUAUGUUAUGCCACACUUGGCCUAUCUCCAAUUUGUACACUAUCAUCUUGAAUAAUGCAUCUCUCAUCUGUUUCCAACUAUAUAGACCUCUAAUAGGCAAGUGCAAGCAUGAUUUCUUCCUUUCCGACCAACUUCUUUUGAUUGGUGGUUAAAAAAGGGAAAUGGGUGAAACCAAUGUGUUACCUUUCGUUUGAGUGCAAACUAAAGAUGAAAGUGAAAUUAGUUUAAUUUCCCUUGACUGUUUCACCAUUAAAAAGGGGACAAUUAUGAACUAAGUGGGAGGGGGAAAUAUUGAGAUGACUGCAUUAAGCUAUGAAUAUGUGUGUGGUAUAAAGCAAGAUGUGAGUGAUGAAACAUGCCAAUGGCUGUGCUCUCACUUGGAGAAAAAGCAGUUAGAAUCUUGUGAUGUCAAUUUAGGAAGUGAUAGAGUGACAAUCAAAUGGCAACAGUUGGAGAAUUUGCACAGAUUUUUAACUAAAAUAAUAUUGACUAAAUUGUGAAUUACUCAAAUUUCAAGACAUUCUUUGCAUCAUUUUGCUCUAACCCAUUAAAGUAAAAUAUGCAACAAAUGGUAAUCAAGUAUACAAAGCACAUAGGAUCAGAUCAGGUGUAAAUUACUUGUCCAACCAAGUAACCAUACGUCUUGCAAGAAGGUAGAAUAUGUGAAUACUCAUGAAACUUGUAGAGUAUAAAAUUACUCAUAGAAUGCAAUUUCUUGAAAUCAUAAUUAGGAUAAAGGAUUUUUACAAAUACUUGAUAUUUUUCUGAAAAAAUGUACAAAAGGUCAGUAAGUAAUUCAGUCACCAAAUUUUUGAGACAAAACAAGGAAAGAAGCCAUUGAUGACAUCCCCAGUGGCAGGUUUCCCUGCAAUGAGGAAAAACAAAAGGAUUCGACGUGUAUUAGAGAUUGUUUCUAGUGCAGAUAUACCAUUUUCCUCAUCAGCCUUUGUUCAACACAAUAAAGAUUCUUCAAUACCCCUUUUGCUGCAUCCAAAUUGGCAAUAUUUUUAUCAUCUUCAAUCACAGUAUAAGUCCAUCAAUUCAGAUACAACCUUAAUAUGACCAGGGUGGCAUCCUUUCCAGACUUCUAAGUUCUAAGAGAAGUUAGACUUUCAUAUUUCACCCAACACAGAAAUUCCUUAAAGACACAAAUUAUGAUUGAGCUUUGGGUGUCCUAGUGCUACAACAUGCUGAUGUGAGCUCUUUCAGUGUAUGUCUCCCAUUAGCAUUAGUUGCUUACUUGUGUACCAACCACUAACGCAAAAAGAAUUCAGUAAAAUGCAGAUAAAACUGACAAUAGAAUCAGCAAACUCACCUUAUUAUAGUCAAUAUCAUUUAGCCACAAGCAGAGUUUCCAAACUAAGCUUUCCUCAGAAAAAUUUUGUGAUGAUUGAUGGAAAUCAAUGGAACUUGUUUGGGAACCAUUGACGUUUUGAAAUUCCUUUGACCACCAUCGGUGUCUAAGAAAUGAAACAGCCCAAGCAGCAUAUUGUUUAACAUGUUGAUCCUUUGAAUUCUUUGCAACCAGAAACAUUUCCUGAACCAUUGAUGUUGAGAGGGUCUCACAAACAGGACUUGAAAGUAUGGGGCCCCUGAUAAAGGUAGACUCCUGCUUAAUAAAAUGAUGGUCAAGUCAGUUAAUGAAGAAGCUACACACUGAAGAACAUCAGGAAAUAACUAAUGACCUGCUCACGAUUAAUUUGCAAAGUGAUGGGCUGAGGAUACACUUCCGUGAGAUCCCCUGCACCUGCACCAAAUGCAUUAACAACUCCAAGCAUCCCACCCAAGUGGACAGGAGGAGGAUAUGGGUGAGUGUAAGUGUUUCUUAGAAUUUCCAGAAGAUGCUUUACAUCAUCAAAUCUCAUAGAGUGCACCCCAUCAUUCAGGAUGCAAGAAAGUAAGGAUCCAGCACCAACAGAGGUUGUCAUCAACAGAUUCUGAUAAAGAGUUCCAGAUUUUUUUAAGUUUAGAAGAUCAGAAAUUAAUGAAGUGUAAAGAUUGAAGAGUGUAUCUAAAUUAUUGUCGACUAAUUCAACUCUCUGGCAAAAACCCACAACUUUGGGAAGUGCAAGACAUGAGCCCAUACAAAGUGGUAUCUCAGCCAGUUCAUUGCAAACUAGGGAACUAUAGGUAGGGGAAUUAACAUGCAAGAUCCAUGAAACUAACAUAUUUUUUAUUUUAAGAACAGCAUCAUGAGCUCCAAAUCUAUAUAGUGCAACCACACAAUUUCCCAAACCCAGUACAAGCCCUGCAAGACCCCAAGCAUCUUCCUCCAAGUUAUCACAGUUUUCAAGGGGCAAGUCUGAAGUGCUUGCUCCAUAUCCAGUCAGUGGAAAGCUAUCAUUGAGGCUCUUAAAUGAAACAGAUGUAGAAGGGCAUAGCUGGCAUAUCAUCCGAGACAAGGUGCUAACAAUAUCAUGAAGCAAUGUAGUUUCUGUAAGCCUAGUACUUCCUUCAAAUUCUGAAUCAUCAGAAAUUCCAGCCCUCGUAAGAAGGUCCUGACAAGCAAAACCAAGACCCACUCCACAAGCUCCUUUCACAAAAGGGCUCUUGCUGUUACAGAUUACCUGAUACAAUGAAUAACCAAAAGCAAGAGCUGUGAAAUACUUUAUUCGAUAGAAACUUGUAAUGACGGUACAAUAACAGAAUCUUAAGUAAACACAAAUGCCAAGACCACUAGUCUAGCAGAAGAAUUACAAACAAGUUUAUGAAAUACAGAUCAGGGUGUAAAUCAUAAAUAGAUAAUAGAUCAUAUUAUAAACUCUUUUGUGGUUGAUAACCUUCAAGAAAAUAAACCACAAGCACAUGACAAAAGGAAAAAAAAGUGUGAAGUGUAUACAACAAUUCCAAUAUAUUAAUCAAACUAUAAUAGCUCAUUUCAAUGCUAGAAAUGUCAUACAGCAAAAAUAUCUCCAAUUAUUUUUAUUUUAACUCAGUUGUAUAUUUUUUAAGUGUUGUGAUAUGAAACAUAAAGCUUUUUAAACACGUGAAAUAUUAGGUUGUAGCUUAAGGAAUUUAAGUUUUGGUUGGUUAGAAAAGGAUCUGCACAAGGAAAAAAGUUUAGCAUCCAACGAGUCCUAGUUCGACUGUUUGAGUGGAAUAAGAUUUGUGCUAAAUGUUAGGUUGCCUUAGAAAGCAUGUUGCUAUUGACAGUAUUAUUAGCAUAAUAUUAUACAUUGCUGAUCAUCUUGUAUACAAUACCUAGUGGCAUUGUAUCUAGAAUCUCAAGAAUCAAGAAUCCUGCAAGAGAACACUUGAUACAGAUAUUUUUGUGUUUUGUUAGAGGACAAGAGGUCUAAAUUAUUUAGUGAUUGAAAUUAAUAGCCUAAAAUGAUACUUCUAGUUAAGUGUCAUACCUUUUUCUUCCAGAGAUUAGCCAAGGUUUGUUUGCUCCAAAGUCUUAUAAAUUUACCUCAAAAGCUGAUUUCGUCCUUCUUUCAUUAUUUUGAUGCACCCCCACCCUUUGAGUGAGAGACAGAGAGGGGGGCUAUACAAAAUCAGUGGGUCAAAGUCUCUCUUGAAGAUUUAUCUUGUCCAUGUCUUUUCUCCCCUCCUUGUGAUCUAGGGUAAUGCAUCAAUCUAAACUGCGAUAUCCACAUGCACUACACGAGAUAGGUUCGAUCUUAUUUAAAAGAACAAACCAAUAAUGUACCUGAAGUAGUCCAUUUAUGACUUCAAACUUUUGCCUUCUAUCUGUUGCAUGAAGACAAUUAGAAACCAGUCCCAAUGAAAGGGCUGCUGACCAUUGUUGGUGUUCAUGUUCAUACUCAAACAACCAUUUCAGAAGAACGUUUGAUGCUGAAGAGAUUACUGCAUGGGCUGAUGAAGGCACAACCUGAGCAAAAAUGAAGUAGCAAAGAGAUGAGUACAAGCAAAUAAGAUAUCGUAAAUGUGAGCUAGAGCAACAAAAAUAGGUUAAAAAAGAUUUGUUAGAAUAUAACAAUCAUUCAACACCAUACAAUAAAAGGCAAUGUCUCAUGGCCGGGCAAAAACACAAUUCAUAUGCCAUAGAUGGAAAAUUAUAAGAGCCCAUAUUUUUUUAAAAGAGUUGGGCCUGGGCUGGCCACUGGGCCGCAUCACGCACGUUGGCAAGGAGGAAGACUCAUGAUAAGAGUUUUUCUCUUCCCCGUUUCCGCCGGAUUCGAGCGGAGCCCUAGGGCUCCUCCAUAAAAGAAUGUUGUCCUUUUCUUCCUCCCUUCUCUCUCUAUCUUCGUGUUUCUCUCUCUAGUUUAUUCAGCAAAACUUUGGGUGAAAGGGACUCAGUGGGUAGUCCUAGCUUGCUACGUGAUAGUGGACCCUUUAGUUACCUCGAAUGAUUUUUGAUGUUAAUUUAGUUUUGUAGGAGAACAAUCUUAUGGGCAAGAGGACAUCGAGCAGGAUUCUGCACACCCUGAUUCGUAGAUCGCAGUGUGGACUGUGGACAGGUAAUUAGUUAGUCUGGAUUGUCGGCAUAGAGGUAAGAAUUCUUGUACACCCACCUGCAUGUUUAUAAAUAUUUUGUAAAUGUAUAUGCAUGAUAUGCUAAUGAUCAAGAUAAGUAAGAUGCAAAAAAAAAUUUUAUGAUGGUUCAUGUAUUAAACAAUAUUUUGAUUAUGUAUACUUGUGAUUAAUACUAUGAUGGAUGCAUAUAUGAGUAUAACUUACAUUUGUAUAAUCAAACUAAUAAAUACGGUGCUCUAGAUUAACCAUGUUAUAUUGAUUGCUCUAUCACAGGCGGAAAACAUGACACUUGUCCCGUCAUAGGCUAGAAAUGUGACACUAAUCGAUUGCUCCAUCAUGGGAGAAAAACGUGACCAUGGUUAGUCUAAAGCCAGAAAUAAAAAGAAUUGAUAUGUGGAUGUGAAUUUGAUUGAAUGAAUAAAGACUCUAGCUGAUCUUGUUAUUAUCGAUUGACCUAUCACAAGCUGAAAAUGUGGCACUAUCAAUUACGCCGUCAUGGGCGGAAAACGUGAUAUCUAUUGAUUGCCCUGUCACGAGCAUGAAAUGCGACCGAAAUUUGGCCUAAAGUCAAAAAGAUAAUCGAUCUUGGAUCCAGAUAGGGUUAAAAAGGAAUGGAAUGAAAAGCUGCCUGUUGAAAAUACUAUUAAAGAUUUAUGAGAUAUCGUAUGAUAUAUCACCCUUGAGUGGUUGGAUUUUUAUUGAUAUUUAUACUGUUUAUUCGAGCAUUGUUGAUAGUCGGUUUGUGAUUUCAUUGUGGGUAAUGAUUUCUUGCUAUUUUCAAACUUAUAUUAUUGUGUUGGUGUGGAUGUCUGAAAAUUCUUACUGGAUCGUAAAGCUCACACCACAUCUUGCUUUUUUCUUUCAAAGUUGCAGGAUGCUUGGUACUUGGCUAUAAUUGGGAUCACGAGUAAAAGGAUAAAUAGAUAGACAAUCAAUGAUACCGGUUAGAUGAUUAAAUUUUGUAAUUGUACAAGUUUUGUUAUUUAUUGUGAAUUGAGAUCAUUAUUAUUCAGUAAUAUUGAGGUUGUAAUAAAUUUUCAAGCCUUGCAUAUUCUCUUGGGCCUUGCCCUAGAGAGUAUACAGUCGUGUCACGUAGCUAACCCAGGUCCUGAGUUCAGGGCUUGACAAAAACCACAUUUUUGUCCAUUAAAUGCUUUGGUAGUAAACCUCCAAAAACAAUAUUUUUGGGUUUUGUGGCAUGUAAGGUGUCAUGAUUAUAUUCAAUGAUGUAAAUUUUCAAUCUCAAUGCCCACCACAUAUUAUGAACCGGUAGCUAUUGGUUUUGAAUCCUACACACAAAAUAGCAGUUAAUCAACUUUCUCUCAAGCUAAAGUUAAACUAGAUCCAGUGGUAAGUAAUUGCACUUGUGACCCUCAGGAGUAGUGCCUUUUGUGCUGACAGCUUCACACUUGACAGGGUGUACUUGUUAGGCCUCAGCAAAAAACUGAGCCAUAUUGGGAGGGUCAUACAUGUUGAAGUCCAAUAACCAUAAGUCAAACCAAAACUCUCUUUUCACAUAUGCAAGAAUGCAUAACUAAGGAUCUGUUAGGCAUCACUUCCAAUAUUCAGUUUUCAAUUUUCAAAAAAACCAAAACCACCUUCUCUUGUUUUGAAGACUGAACCCAAAACUUGUUUGGUAAUACUCAAGUUGUGGCGGCAGUGGUGGUCGGCCGGCUAGCGAGCAGUAACGGUGGCUGGUGGAGGUGCUAAACAAUGGUGGCGAUAAGUGGCCGACAGGCGGUGGCAUAGGGCCAAUGAGGGGGGUGGCAGCGGCAACGGUGUUGGUUAUGGAUGGUUUUUGUUAAAAAAAACCAUGAAAGCUACUCCUAAGAACUUUCACAUAUUUCAGAAAUCAAACUGCAAAAUGCUAAUCAAGAAGUUUCCAGCCUUGAUUUCCUUGAUUUCAAUAUUCUCAUAAACAAAAACCAAAAAUUGAAAACUGACAGUGAUUCCAAAAAGGCCCUAAAUAAGAGAAGGCUUAUUUGUUUGAUGAUGCAAUACGUGAACUUCUGGAAUACUUUAUGCAGUGACAUUCAAAGAUUGAAGCAUCACAUGCCAAUGGCAUGCUGGCUUGGCACUAGCAUAGAACCAUAGCAUGCCAUUCCAUGCCCAUGCCACAUGCCAGUAAGGCACUAGCUUUGUACGUUUUUUAUGUCAUGUCAUACAGUGCCAACCAGCACUAAAUCCAUGUUGACAUUACUCCUGAUAUUCUAAAUAUUGUAGUGUUUUAUAAUGUUAUUGUCAAAAAGAAAUGACAAUGAUUUCAGAUAGUAAUGCUUGGCCAUUAUAUUUCAUUACAAUUCAAAUGAGCAUAUAUCUAAGUAUCUAACUAGCUUACUGGGUGAAAUCAGUUUCAUGAGCAUUAGAGUCAAAUUAAAACAAAUGAAUUAUACUAUAAAGCCAAGUGGGGAAUAUAAGAAUAUAUCUUUUUAAAAAUCUUUUUGAUGCCAUUCAUUGCUGUUAGAAUACCAUUGACUUGGGUUGCUAGGACAAAUUUCUCAAGGAACAUCAACAUAGCAAGGCCUAGAUAAUAUGCAUUAUUUGUUCCAAAAUAACAAAACAUGAAACAUCUCUCUCUACCUCUCUUUCUCUCUCUCUUCUCAUAGAUAACUUUUCUAGACAUGAAGCAAUUAUUGGUUACAAAAGAAGAAUUACAUCUCGUGUCAUGGAUGAUCUCAAAAAGGCUUAGAAGCAUAUGAUUUGCAAACAAGUUAAAGCAAGAAAUCAAUGGUUCCUUGUUCCAUGAGGAUCUCCCAAAACAAGGUUCAGUGAGAGUGUAGAAGGUAACUUGGGUCUUACCAAGGUUAAGGGAAAUUUGAAUGCCUACAGGUGAAAUUGAACAAAAAGGAUAGCAUGUGAAGGACAAUAAAACUCAAAGAACUUAUACCCAAAAAUAUAAAUGAUCUAUGUCAUACAGUAUUAAUAUAUGAUUUUUAUUAGAUAUCAUUUGGUUUGUUUUGAAAAAGCUAAAAAGGAAUAGUGGAAAUGUCUUUAGUGUAUGAUUGCUUCAUACUUCAUAGGUCCUAAAUGACAAGAGUUUGCGGUUUAGAAGAUGCUUAUGACACAGCUAGCCUAUCAAGAUGUAAUUUUCUGGGAUUAGGUUUUAUGAAAUCUUUUAUCUUUAAAGUUAGGAUUUAAAUAAGAUUUAUAGCCAUUAUUAUUGAAAUGGUUUCACUGAAUAAGGUUAUAAGCAAUUUUGUGGAGCUUUAAAUAACUGUUAUUUAAAAUUUGAAUGUUCAAUGGGACAUUGCAUUUUUUUUGCUACUGUAGAUCUCUUCCCUUUGCCCUCUUAUUUCUUUCAUCUCCCAUAAAGUCUCUAUCAUCCUUUUGGGAAACAGUCCUCAGAGAUUCAUUUCUUCUGACAGUCAUCUAAACGUGAAGGUAUUAUUUGUUACUUUUCAUUCUCUUGUUGGUUGGAUUAAAGAUCACUGGAAAUCACGGCUCCUUAUUUUUCUCCCACACGGACAAAUUUUCAAGUUAUAUCAGAUUAUAGAAAUUAAAAUAAGGCUGCGACUGGGCUGCUCAAAAUGGUCCCCAAGAUUCAAAAAAAUGUGAAAGAUCUGAUCUAACAGAGAACUAAAGGCAGCUCAUUUAAUGUUAUCUGGUCAACCAGAAUAAGUACUAAACAUAGCACCUGCCACCUAGCACAUGAUGUUGAAAGGUCAUUCUGAGUAGCAUACAUUAUCGCACUAGGAGCCAUAUAAAGAAGUCAAAUGAGUUCUUUACUCCAAUGCAGUGGCAUUUAAGAAUAACAUCAACAUAAACCAAAUCGCCUAUUGUUAGCAAAAAUUAUGCCACGUUGGGAGUCUGUAAGUGAUACAAAAUGGUAUUGGAAGCUAUAAUAUUCCACAUUAUGAGGGCAAUUUAGUUUGGCGUUGCUUGUAUGACUUUGCUUGUGGAUUUAAUAAUCAAGCAGAUUAAAUUUUCUACUAGCACUUCCAUUAUGGAAAAUAUGAAACUGAUCAGUAAGGCAUACCAAUAUACCAUAAUGAGAUCUCAUCUUACCAUGCAUAGUGCACCAAUAGCAAAGGCUAUGUUUACUGCAACUCGAGGAACAGAAUCUGCGGCAACUUUACACAUUGUCUACACAGGAAUAAAUGUAUAAUUAGCAUGCAGAAACUUCUAUGAGAUACUCAGAAAUCUGUACAAUACCUAAAACUAGAAAAGCCAAGCAAUUUACUCAACCUGAAACAAGGUUAAGCAUAAUAGUAUACAAGAUAAACCAGAAAUACUAGCAAUAAAUUUCACAGCAGGAACACGAGAUCUGCUUGGGAAAAUUAUGUCAUAAUAGCAACAUGCCCUUAAAAAAAAUUAUGUCACUAGUUUGGAGACAUCAAUUCAAGCACUAGCAAGCAUAAACUCAAGCUUGAGUUGUAACUUCUGGAAUAAAGCACAAGCAAAGGGAGUGAUACUACUUAAUUUGAAAUUCAAUUUAAUUGUACAUACUCACCACUAUAGGCCUCUUUCUAGAGCUUUGUGAAGCAUGAACAAGAGAUUUCUAGUCUCUGGAACUAGUUCUGUAUUACAGAAUUCUAAAUUGUUUUUUUGGCUAAAUACGGCAAAUUGUUAAUUGUGUUAUUGUGAAGAAACAACGUUGAGCCUUCAUAUUGCCAAUAAAAGCUGCUGAACUCUCAAACCAAGAAAACAAUAGCCACAAUUGUCAAUUUAUGACAUGAAAUGCUAAGCUACGAGAUGAGAUCAGCAAAAAGUCAUAUUUUCUGCACUUCUUGACCAAAACCAACCUAAGGCACCUAGCAUGGAGGGUUCCUCAUCACCCCUGUACUAUAGUCCUAAAAGCCUGUUAGUCCAGAUUCAUACACAUUGAGCUUAUUUCCCCCAAUUAUGUCCCCCAUCGAUCUGGGCUUACACAACCCAAGAGCCCAAAACUCUCUACAUACGUAUGCUACAAAAGUAAGUCCUAUAACACCAUGUACACCACAUACACAAGCUCAGAAGACAUUCAUGUUUAUGGUAUACCCCAGAUUGGCAGAUCCAUCUUGAACUCACAUGACAGCUACAUGAAGUAGAAUACUUCAUGUGAAUAAACUGCAAGUUUCACAUGGGACAAGGUUUUGGAUUUGCCAUUGGCCUCUCUCAAAAAGUCUCACCAUUGACUAAUUGGCAUAAAAGUUUACAUAAAGGUUUCAAAUCCAGUGUAGCUGAUAUCACAGAAAAGUGAUUCCCUGUUAUCUCAGUCUUAACAAAUCCAUGUUAACAUCUUUCCUCAGGCAUACAUCAGAUAUUAAGUACAUCAGAUCCUUCAAAAACCAUGUCCUAGAGAUACCUCAGCAUAGUUUCUCUGACAAAAAAGUAGAAUUCUCCAAAACAACGAUUGCAAUCAUAAAAUAAGAGGUGAAAGACGAUAAUGAAAAAAAAGUUCAAGGUAAGUAUGCAAUAUCAGUUGUAGGCUUGUAGCAUUAUCUUUUUUGAAAUAAAACAUUGUUUUCACAGUUCUUUCCUAUAAUCACUCUAAGGUAAGUUGUUUGGUUCUGGUAAUCAAGCUAUACUCAAGUUGGUAUAAUAUAAUAUAUCAAUGCCCUAGAUUCCUAUAAAGUGCAUUUAUUUAAUCUGGAGAGAAGGCCUAAAGUUACACUGCAGCACCAUACAAAACGAUGAAGUGAUAACAGACAAGAUAUGCAGCAGUCAUAAAAAAGUGAAGGAGUGAACCUUGAAGAUAUCGCUGGCAGCCCUUGAACUUUUAUCCAAUCCAUCAGAAGAACCUUUAGCAUCAGUAUGAAUAGCCACUGCCCCCAUCCAAUGGUGAAUGAAAGGUUUCCACGAUUGCAGUGCAAGAAGUGCAAACAAUAUAUUUCUCGAUGUAUGAAGGGACUCAGCUAUUUCCAACAGUGUCUUUUCAUAAACAGAAUGUAGUUUGCGAAAAUCCUAUAGGUAAACCACAUUUACAGGAAAAAAAUCAAUAGUGUAAUUUUCAAUUCUUAAAGAACUAAAAGCAUCAUCAACCACUAGGCAGUAGUAUAGAAGCCUCACCUUUGAUGUCCCAUUGCCAAUGGGAUCCUUAGAAGUGAAAACAAGAGAUAGCAGAGCUGCACCAGGUAACUCAACAUGUUUUUGUUCCCCUGCAUAAAAACAUUAGAACCAGGUUCUUAAAUCAACUUUCUGGCUUCAAAACAGUUGUAACAGAUACUAAUAUGUAACAAACAUAAAAGUCGAGAAUGAUAAAAGCAAUAAACAUUCACAAAACGUAAGAUUUGCACCAAGAGACUUUAUUCAGAUCAACAAAAUGAAAAUUUCAAAGAACGCCAAAAUGACCCGAACCGGCAGUUCAGCCCAUACCAAACUGAACCGACGCCGACCCAGAUAUGCGGCAUGCUACUAAAAGGCCAUUUGUCUAAAAUUAACAACCAGUAUUUCUUGAUACCUGGAGAAAACAUAGCCAGAGGAAAGGCAUCCAAUAAUUUUUCAACCUUGUGCACCAUGACUCUUUUCUCCUUAUGAAAUCUACGUCGAGUUCUGGAGUCAAUAUACAAAUCUUAUUAAGUGCACAUCAAUCAUUUUUCAAAUAAUAAGAAGAUAUAUGUUAAAUUAAUAAAAAUGAUGUUGACAUGUGUUCAAAUUUGAUAAUCUUGACUUGGAAUUCCUCCUUGGCCUUGAGUACUUCCACAUUAUCUUCAGAAACGAGACACUGAAAAUUUCUUCUCUUAAAAUCAGAAAUCUUGUCCUGAAUUUGUGCAACCUGAGAUUUUUUAAUUUACGUGAAGAAAUGAGAGAUGAGCCAUUUCAGCUACAAAGAAAGAAUACAAAUAUUUUAAGAAAUCAACCAGUUAAAAAGAUCAAAAUGUACCAAAAAAGAAAAUUUUACUCUAGGAAAUAAAAGGCAUAUGUGGGAGGAGUGAGUCAUUGAGCCACAAUGGACAAUAGCCUCACCUCAUAAUGGGACAAGGACUUAAAGGCAGCAACCCGUGCUUUCACCCAUAAAGAUUCCAAAAUACAGCUCCUAGAUGUUCCAACUUCCCACAAAAUCUGCACAACAGUUUUUGCAGCUUCAGGGUAAGCUUCUGCAUCCAUCGCACCCCAUCUUAACAAGGUGCACAAGCUGCACAAUGGUUUGGGAGAACAAAAAAAAAUGAACAACGGCACAAAUGUGAAGCUAAGAUUAACUUAAAUAACAAAGCAAUGAAUGCUUUAGGUAAUCCUUUAAUAGUAUGAGCUAUUGACAACUCCAAACUCCCCAAGAAGUUCCGUGAUGAUAUGUGAAAGGGUGUGCGUUAAUGUGGUCAUAGAGAAGGAAAAAAGGGCAAAAAGGAAUCAUGGACCCAAGCCCAUAAAAAUGAAACAAAGCAAGUUAGUUUACCAACAUUUAAUUAUGCUAUUUUUGGUGGUGAAGCAUUUUUUUCAGUAUGCUUUUAUUAUUGUCGGGCCUCUAGUUAUUUCACCAAUUAUUUAUUCAACUAUUUUCCAUUGCCACUAAACUAAGCAUCAUUGGUUUUUCCAUAUUCAUUUCUGACUGCCACGUGCUAAAGAGAUUAUUUCGACGAUAAUUUCCUUUCAGUCAAAAAUGUUUGCUUGCAAGAAAUAUACAUGAGUGGUCAAAGAAUGGUCUGUGACCAGGUAUAAGCCCAGGCCACACAAAUAGAAUAGUCAUUGUAUAGCCCAAGGGGCAUUUUGAUCUCCUGGAACAACAUGGUUAUUUUAAUUCGUACCGCUUUUUCUCCCUUCUGUUUAUCUACUUUCUUCAUUCUUCGCUUUUUCUUCUUUAUUUCAGAUCAACUGCAGUCUGCACCUUCAGGAUUUUCUCAUUUGUUGCAAUCAACUCACAUGUUUGCAUGAUUUAAGGCACUUAAAUUUAAAAAAGAUGACACGUAGGAGAUACUAACUUUGCACCUAUAUGAUGGCUAUUGGUCUUUUUUUUAAAUAACAAACAGAUACCAUUAAGAAAUUAAUUGUUAUGUUCAAGUCAUCAAAUAAAACAAAUACACAAAAUGACAGUGAGCUCUCUAAAUCAUAGUAUGAUUAUUGGCUAGUCAUUUAGGCUCAAUAUUCCCAAAAAAAAAAAACCAUCAAUAUUAUUUAAAAUGUAAUGUUGGCGAAUAAAGGCUACAUAAUUUAAUUAUUAGACAACGAUAGAAUAAGCCAAUUGGAGCAUGCACAGCAAGAGCCACAAAUGGCCUCUAUUUCAGGUUCAAAUUAUAAAAAGGUGUUUGACUAAACAAUUAAGGAUUGGAAGAGCGAAUUUUUAAGGCAUUUGGGUAUUCCUGCUGGAAAUCAGGCCUAUUGGCCUGGCCAGCCCGCAAGUCUCCUAAAGGCCAACCAAGACUUAGCCUAAAUCCCAGUCCAUGGGCCUGUUGAUCUGCAAGAAGGAAAAAAAGACCCAUGAAGAUCUUUUUUUUUUCCUCCCACAGGAUUGGAGUUGGGAGGGUGUUGGGUUGAUAUGGGCCCUAUCCACAUGGGCUUCCCAAUCCACGAAUCUAGCAAGAAAUCCAACCCAAUCUUGCUGGAUUUCCCAAACAAGACCUAAAGGGAAAUACAUUAGGGUUGUCUUGUAGUUGACGAGAAAAAAGUCAAAAUGAAACCAUGUAGAUGACACAAGAAACUGACAAAAUUCCAAAGUAAUGGCAUAGUUCUUGUAACAAUUUAUUUGCUUAAAUUCGAAUUUUUUGGUGCAAAAAUGAAAUGGAUGUUGAUGAUCAAGAAAGAUGCAUGCAAAAUGUCAUCAUAUAGGCAUCUUGCUUAUGAGCAAUCUUGUUGAACCAUGUCGUGUGCUUUGUAAAAGGUAGCAAAAGAAUAGAUCAAGGGAAAUUGAGUUAAAGAAUUAUAGAAUACUUGAGCCACUCAAUCCCCUCCAAAGAAAAGGAUAACAUACUGGAGGUCUACUUACCCAUGCGCAACAAUAGGAUCAACAGAAUGAUCAAGCAUAUGCUUCGAAAUAACAUUCCAGGCUGUGUAAAAAUCUGCUAAGAAGAUAGAUUUCAUGAGUGGAAAACAUUACUUGCAUGACCACAUAUGUGACAAUCCACUGAUAAGGGAAACAGUAGUGGACUUAGAUAAAGUUUUUCUGAAAAAAUUGAGCAAUGGAAGCAGUUCACAAAUACAAUUAUUAACAUAAAGCAUGUCUGACACAAUCAGUAUAAAACCCAAUUGGUCCUGCUAGGAAGUCAUUUAAGUAAUAAUAGCUAGAAAAAUAUAAUAAAAAGCACUCAUGUUUCCUGUCAUGACACCUUUUCAUCUUAAUUGAGAUCCAUAAGAAGCAAGCACAUAAGAGAUUACUCAUGUAACAAGGAAAAUUAGCAAGCGUCGGAUCCGAGUAAAUGGAAGCACUUUAUCUAAGACUGCUAAUUUAUUAGGUGGUAUUCUAAUCUGUCUCAAUUUUCACUAGAAUACCCCUUUUAGUAGAUAUUAGAUAGCAAACACAUGCAGCAGAAAGACAUCCAUACAGAAUUAUUUUAAGUUAAAUUUCUACAAAAUAUACAUUUGACAGGAAUUCAUAGAACAUAUCUUUCAGAUACCUAAGUAGAGCUAGUGACACUUCCUAGAGAAGCAAACCAUGAUGUCUGCAAGCACCUAAACUCAUCCCUUUUAUUGACUGUCUUCACUUCCAUUGUUAGUCAUUAAAUGCGAAAGUUGUUAACUAGAAACUUUGGAAUGUGAAACGUUAGCCUCCCCAAAUAUAGGUUGUUGAAGAUUGACUUGAUGAAAUCAUGUUUCGAUUAUGGCAUAGUGUUCUUCGGUUGAUAUGUGACGGGUUUUGAAUUGUUAGGCCCUGGUGUAAUGGUUUUGCACCCAACUAGCGCAAGCCAACAUUUUGAAGUGGUGAAUCACAGACUACAAAACUCACCAGAAAAUCAAGCCUUCCACUAGCGUCAACCAUAUAUACGGCAUGAAAAAGAGGGGUUCAGACUGAAUUAAAUACAGAAUUAGAAGCAUCUCUCUUUCCUUAUCCCCCCACCCCCACCCCUUACCCAGGUCCAGAUUUUUGAGGAUGCACCAUCCAAGAAUCAAAACCAAAACCUCCAAUUGCCAAGCAGAGGGGUGUGACCACCAGGAUAGUCUUGGUUCAUCCUAUUCUAUUCAUAUUACUGUAACAGCCAUUAUGGCUCUACUUCACAGGCUUGGGUAACGAUCUAACCAUUAUGGCUUCUUUAGAUCAAUCCUUGAUGAUUUGAUACAAAUUGCACUACAAUUACCCAGAUCCAAUUUUUUAAGGAUUCACUACCCAAGAAUCAAACCAAAACCUUCGAUUGUAAGUAGAGGGGUCUGACCAUCGAGACAAGUCCUAGUUCAUCCUUUUGUAUUCAUAUUACUGUAACAGCCUCUAUGGCUCUACUUCGCAGGCUUGGGUAAUCAUUACACCACUAAGGUUUCUUUGAACAUAGCUCAUAAAGCAUCUUGUUUAGUGGUCAAGAUCAAUCCUUCAUAAUUUGAGUCAAAAUGACACAAGACAUGCAUCGAAAUUGAUUAUCAAUUUUAAGUGUUUGUUCUGAUCUUCUAGUCUAUUAACAAAGAUCAGGAGCAUUUCUAACAUAGGAAUAGAUUACAAAUGUUCUUCAGAUCUAUCUUUUGGGUAAAGAAUAGCCAACACGGGUGUGCAUGUUUCCAACAAAUUUUCGCCAAAGAGCUUAUUUGAGGGUUUCUGAUUAGUUCCAUGACAAAGUUGCGAAAAAGUCAGAGAAAUAUCUUCAUACUUAUGCAUGAUAUUGUGCGUUCUCUUCUUAUAGGUAUCUCCACAUUAGUUAUUCACACUAACAGACUAGCCUUAAUCUAUUCUACAUCUCAUCUACUGAAUGUUCAUUUUUCCUACUUAGACUAUUCUGCCUUGACGACCUUUAUAGCCUAUGGAUUGUGAACCUAUUUUUCCAUUAGGCCGAUACAACAUUUUCUUUAGUUGUCAAUAUGAUAGUGGAACUCUAAAGAACUCUUGAUAUCGUUCGCUUCCCAAAAUUCUCAAGAUAUUUAAUGCUUAUUCCUUCUGUGAUCAGUUCCUCAAAGCAAUCCUUCGUGAUAAAAUCAAUGUCAUCAUCAACCAUUUCUAUCCAUAAUUGAUAUGGUCAUAUCGUUUUUGGCUAAAAAUAUAUGAAUUUUAAUGAAGAGGCCUGAGUUCCACAAUCUAAUGGCAUACUAGCAUACUAAAUCCUGGCUAUUAACCAAGGUUUUAAAUAAUGUGGAACAGGAUUGUCCUGAUUUUUCCAUGGAACAAGAUCCCCCGCAUAUCGACACGGAAGAUGGUUGAUGUCUCAUCUCCUCCUGGUCUAUUUUCCAACUCUUCUCGUCCCGACACUCGGGACAAUAGGAUGUCCUGCCAUCCAACUGGUACUUAAAGUGAAACAUUGUUUGCUUCAUCCAAGGUAUUCCGAACCGGUACCGGUAGGCGUACUGGUGGCCUAUCAAACUGAUUCAUCAUUCUUGGUACCAUUUCGGUAUCGGGGCCGUACUGAGAGCCCCAGUCGGAGCUGGAGAAGACGAGGUGAAAAAGAGAGUGAGCAGGGGAGGGAGGGAGAAAGAGAGGCCUCUGUCGCCCGCAGAGGGCCGCAGGGAGCCGGCAAAGGCCACAGGGGGCCGGCAGAGCCUGCAACCCCUUGUUUCUUUCCAAACAGGGAACGUGGCCAUAGAAAAAAAACUCCAAAUUUUUCGUUUGCCGACUUCACUUAAAAAACUCCAAAUUUUUUUCCGCGGCCCCAUCUCAUGUUUCUUUCGAAACAGGGGAUGCGGUCGCGGCUUCAGCCUCUGCCACCCCCCCCAGUGGCCUCCCCCCGCCCCCCACAACCCUCCACGGGCAGCGAAGGCUUCUCCUCCCUCCCUCCCCCGCUCGCACUCUCCUCUCUUCUUCUUCCCCGGUUCCGGCUGAGUUCUCUCGAUACGAGCCCUGUAUCAUUUUUUAUUGCGGAACCGGUUUGGUACAGACUAAACCAGCUAGUACGGGUUGAUUCAGCAUAUGGCUCCAUCUAUCUAGCUUUAGCUUUCCUACCUAACCAUAUUUAACAGCCUUUAUGUCAACAUAGUUUUCUAGAACAAAUAUAGUUAGCCUUAAAAAAUAAAUAAAUAAAUAGUAUCUGUGAGAGCGCUUGUGUGUAGCCUCUAUAUCAAAUUAGUUUUCUAGAAGGAAUAAAGUUGGCCUUAAAAUAAAUGAAUAAAUGAGUGUGAUAGUGUUUUUGAGUGUGUGUCUGAAAUGAAUACUAUUGGCCUUAAAAAAUAAUAAAUAAAUACUAUUUGUUUUUGUGUUUGUGUGUAUUUAGUAGCCUCUAUGUCAAAUUAGUUUUCUAGAACAAAUAUUGUUGGCCUUAAAAUAAAUAGCUAAACAUAUAAAUAAAUACCAGACGUGUGUGUUGUGAAUCCUCAACAAGAGUCUAGAAAUAUCUUGGAUGUGAAUUUUCACCUCUCUUUUUUUUUCUGAAUCUUGACCAAAACCAUAAUUAUGUGUUCUUCUAAUUGCUCUAUAUAGACAAGACUUAUUUGGCAAAUAUAUCCUAUCUACAAUCAUGGGGUUCACAUUUUCCAGAUUUCGUUAGAUCAUCAACCUUGUUAAUUGUUGUUGCUCGUCUACCCCAUUUAGGUGUUCACAUAGUUGUCUCCAAGUUCUUUUGAAAGAAAAUUUUUCUAUUUUCUAUACACGACUUCAAAUUAUUACUUGAAGUUUGAAAUAUCACUACUAGAAGCACCUAUUUUUAAUAUUAGCUCAUCAUUUUCAAAGAGAAGACCCAACACACUAAAAUAUUUAUCUCAUAACAAGAACUAGUUUGAUUUUAUUUUUAGAUGAAUUAAACCAUUUAAUCAAGAUGAAAAGAACCACUUCCCAGAAGAGAAAGAUAUUAAGAAUUUUUCAGAUGGGCAAACACAAACAUGGAUGACUUGUCAAUAUUUAUGAUGGUUGAUAGAAACAUGUCGCCAUGAUGCAAAGAUGUGGCAGAUGCUAUAGUGAAUAUAGGAUAGGGGACUAAGCAGGGAUGAAUGGGUGAGGAUAAGGUAGCAUUAUGUGUUAACAUUUUGGUCUAGGCAUACUGAAUGGAUGCUCCAAAUUCCCUAAAUAUAUCGAAAUAUAUAAAAUUCAACUCUAGGAUUUUGAGCCAACCCGCACCCACGGGACUCACUGAAUCUUGGCCAGGCAACUGUGAGUGCUGAGUCUGUAUUCAAAUUAGAUAUUGAAUUUGGGGCACAAAUAAGUCCCCAAACCCAUUGUCAUUUGUCUAAGGCCUGGCCAGAAGCUCUGCCGGAUCAAGCCCAUUAGCAGCCUUAGAUAAAAAGGACUGGUGAACCCUAAUUAAACAACUGACAUUGUAUAAGAGUAUACUUGUACAGCACAGUAAUAAUAUGAUGACUCUAAAAUACAAAACAUUACUAACUGAGGAAAAAAAAAGAAGCUAAAUUGCUGGUCUUUAAACAAGAUGGUUGUAAAGUUGUCAUACAAGCAAAGAAGUAUUACCAACUACAUCUUCCUUGCAAAGAUGGGCAAGGCUUUCAAGACCAAGAGCUUGUACAAUCGGAUCUCUGCUCUCGAUACAUGACUGUUAAUAUAGAAGAAUAUAGAUAAAGUUUCUAAAGUGUAGCCAAACAAGCAUGGAAAGAGUUUUAAGGAUUCAUACCGACACAGAUAGUAUAAGGUCAACACCCCUAUCAGGAUUGUGCCUGCAAACAUCGCGUAUUGAAGCAGCAACACUAAUACAAAUUUCUCUCUCAGAGGUAAAAAAAGAAAAUGCUUCAGGAUCCAAGACUCCCUAUUUGAGAGGGGGAGGGGUACCAUUAGCAAAGAACUGGACGCCACAAAAAAGUCAAGCAGGUAUUUUCUAUCUAAUGAAAAGUAAUAAUAGAUAUCUGUGACAAAAAAAAUUCACCAAUUUAGUGGUUAACAUAAAGGCAUUAUUAGUAUAUCAUAGAGAAAAGCUGAUGAAAAGCUUGCGUGAGUGGGCAUGAAAAAUUCAACCCCUUCAGUCUACAACUAAAGGAUAAAUGCAUAAGUCUGUCAUCUCUUUUCAGCUUCUCACACUCUACAAUCAGGUAUAAACUAUCAUGCCAAUAUAUUGGCAUGGAUCUAAAUAUUUUAUGUAGUUAAAACAAAUUGCACAACUUUUCAAUUGAAUUAUUAGAUGUGCAUAAAAGCGAAAAUAUCUUAACCAACUCAUGAUGUACAAAACAAAGGGUGAAGAAUUUGAGAAAAUAUAAUGAUGCAAACUAAUGCUCAUUCACAAGUAGCCAUAUAGACUGUUCUUAGUCAAAGAUGGUCCACAUUGAACAAUAAUUUGUUUAUAUAGAGAGCAUACGGAUGAUUUCUUUCUGUGAGUCUAGUUAAGUGGCAUACUACAAAACUAAGGAAUAUGAAUAUGACAGAUGAGUCAUAGUAGUUAUAAGCAGUCAUCAUAUUGAACAGAAGUAAGACAUCUAAACCAAUAACAGCAUGUAAAUUAACGAUACAAGCAGCAGAAGUGUUGAACCCAAGAAAAAAAGUUGUAGGAAGAGGCUAUUGAACUUCUUCUAACAUGAAAGAUGCAAGGGGAUUGGUUGGAUGAACUUGGCCUGCUACAUCUCAUUCUAUGUUGAUGUUCGCAGUAUCGCAAGAAAGAAAAGUGAAAGUUCCAUGAAUUUAAAUCCCAGUACCUGGCCCCAUCUCAGUUUGCUCUUGGGAUGGUAUGGUACCAGGAUGGGAUAGUACUAUUUGAACAGACCAAAACAGUCAACAAUGACCAGAAUAAAAAAAAAAAGCACCCCGAUCUUUAUCGAUCCAUCUAACAGAAUGGUCAGGACAUUUCAAAAAACCGGCGUCCAGCACCUGUAUCGGUCUUGUUUUCUUGUCAGAACAGUAUGGACUGAGGAUACCAUCCUGUUCUAGUGGGACUUCAAUCUUUAAUUACUAGCAUCUAAUCAGGAAGGAAGAAACACAGUCUUAACUCAUUAGAUGAAGUUUUAUUAGCAAAAUACCAGUGCCAAACAUUAAGAAUGUUAAUCUAUGUGGCUGUACCCACAUGCUUGUACACUCAAAAGCUAUGAUAUAGCCAAAACAGAAACAAUUCUCAUCUGGCGACAAGGAUACUAGUGCCUCCCACGGCAAACUCUCAAAAUCCAGAUGCAGCAACAUGGAGGUUAUACAAUAAGAAUGUGCACAUACACAUAUAGUUGAUAAGGAUAGUCAAAUAGUGACAUGAAUACACAUGCCCACAGAAUCAUUGUUCACAAGUAUUUGUAGUUCUCUACAUUUACUUUCAUGAAUUCUGUCAACAAAAGCAAGUAAUUACUUAAUGACAUCAGUCAUAGAUCAAAGUGGACAGUGACCAGGAUAGGGCUUCACUUACAAUGAAUGAAAUAAUAUUUUCAGCUUUGAGUCUCCUAAAAAAAUUACAGAUUAUGGAGCAAAUAAAGCUAGAACAAAUCAGUCAGCAGAUAAACUUCGUUUUUGUACUUGUCACAUGUACCUGGGAAGGCCAUGCUUGCUGCCAAACCCACGUCCUAAUACUUACGCAGUUACACCCCCUCAUCAACCAGCACUUGUUAUUAGCAUAACUUUGAUUAUUCUGGUAAGUUUUGUAGUUUUUUUCAAAUAUUUACAAUCUUGUGAUAUAUAAUAUGCAGCCACAAUACGAAUAAGCUUUUGCUAUUGAGUUGUAUUUAACAAUAAGUAACAUGUAAGAAUCUUUUGAGCCCUAGAUCUUAAAUCUGUCCUUGCUACCAUACCAAAUUUGCACCCAAAUCUCCAGGCAAUUAAAUAUGGCUCCUUGCAUCUGGCAAUUUUACAAGUAUACCCAUGCAGAUGAUGCUUAGUUGAUAACAAAUUAUAAGAGAUCAGAGAUGCCCAUAAUGUCAACUAAGAUGAUGAAAAGAAGUAAUUUUCUUACUUGCAAAGUUCCAAAGGCCCGAUCUGUAACAAUCCAUGUCUUACAAAGCAAACGGAUAGCUGUAGCAUAUAACACUCUGAAAAAGCAAUAUUAGAAAAUUAAUAAAAUCCACCAACAACAACAACAACCGUAAUCAUAGAAAUAAUAAGUAAAAAACAAUAAUGCCUACAAAAAUUGCAACAAAACUGAAAAUCAUGUCACAAAUCAUGCAACUCUUGACAAUGCCUUCUAACAAGAUACGCCAUCUCGAUACCAGGGCCCCAAACUGGUACAACCCUGUUACUGUGUCGGUAUGCCUGGUAUAGGGGCCAAUUCGGCAUACCGAGUAUCGAUACGCUCCCAGUGCCGCAUACCAGUAAUGAACUAGUACAAUAUGGUAUGCCUCAUACCAUCCGUUUCGUUUCGGUAUGGUAUGGCAUACCUCGCCUUGUACUAUACAAGUGGAUUCAAGUCCCAAACCUCUAAGCUGCAAAUAUAAUUCUCAAAUAUCAACUAAGCGACGGGCAACAACCCACGGUUGAUCAUACACUAAUCAAUGAGAAAAUGGUUGAUUUAUAAGAUAACAAAAAAAGCUGUCCUAGUGUACAAGGCUCCUACCACGGCAAUAAUUCAAGAGAAUCACCGGACUCGAUGUAGACCAUUUUGGCCACUACAAGUAUUCAGGAGGAUCACCAAAUUCAAUGUGGAUUACUUAGGCCACUAAGAGUAUCCCAAGAGAUCACCAAACUCGACGUGGAACACUUUGUCCACUACAAGUAUUCAGGAGAAUCACCAGACUCGAUGUGAAACACUUUGGCCACUAUGAGUAUUUAGGAGGAUCACCGACUCGAUAUGGACCACUUUGGCCACUACGGAUAUUCAGGAGGAUCACCAGACUCGAUGUAGAUCACUUUAGCCACUACAAGUAUUCAAGAGGAUCACUAGACUCGAUGUGGAAUAUUUUGACCACCACGAGCAGAGUUGGAUAAAGCUCAAGAGCGAGAUCUGCCACAUCAGAAAGCCGAGUCGCAGACUAAACUUUUAAAAGUUAUAAUUUGGUCAUACGAUGCCCGAUUGAGAUGAUCUUUUUUUUGAAAUUUGGUAUCUUUUUGAGAUCUACAACUAGAAUUAAAUCGGGCCGAAAAUCUAUCGCUUAAAUCUCGAAACAGGCCAGUCAAACCGAAAGUUCUCUUUUCGGAUAAGACUUUGACCGGGCGUGGCUCUAUAUCCGAGAAGAAUCGGACAGAGUGACAAAGUAGAGUUGAUGUAGAAGUCGAGAUUUAUCUCUUUGAAAUUUUUAGCUUGUUCUAGAAGAUUUCUACAAGAUGUGUAUUUAGAAAAAAUAGUCCUACUAGGAUUAGAAAGAGAAAUCCGACCCAAAUUAUUUUGGGACAGACCUCACAUAAUAAAUAGAGGCUAUGUACCUUCUUUUUAUUAAUCAUUAAUGGAAAAAAAGGGGUCUUAAGCCGUACUUUCGAGAUUCCUUCUUUUAAUUCUUUUGAGCGAUCCGAAUUGAGUGGGUUAAAGAAAAUCUUUCUUCUUCCCGAUUGGAUCAAGUUGGUAUCAAAGCUUCAGUCCUCUACAUCUGUGGGAGCCUUAGUGCAUGGUCCAGAUGCACAAGCGAUACAAGCAGUAAGGAGAAGGAUUAUCCGUGCUUAAAGUACAUUGAAGGAUAAAAGCGAAUAUGAUUGCUAGUUCUACCUCGAUGGAUGAUGAGAUGAUGAAACGUCUCACAUAACUAGAAAAGAAGACAGCCCAUCUCACCGAGAUCGUGUCUUGAUUGGCGACGCCUUCAACACGAGCACCAACAACACUAUCUUCGAGCAAAACAAGUAGUUCAGUCGCAAAGCAGGAAAGUAAGUAUUUUUCCAUCUUCAUUUCUAAUUUAGCAUGAGCUAAAUCCCCUAAACAAGAAGAGCUCUAAUCCAAGAGGAACAUCGAACUUGAUGUGGACUAUUUUGGCCAUUACGAAUAUUCAAGAGAAUCACCAAACUCGAUGUGGAUCAAUUUGGCUACUACAAGUAUUCAAAUAGAUCACCAGACUCAAUGUGGAAUACUUUGGCCACUAUGAGUAUUCAGAAAGAUCACCAGACUUGAUGUAGGUCAUUUUGCCUACUGCGAAUAUUCAAAAGGAUCACCAGACUCGAUAUGGAUCAAUUUAGCCACUACAAGUAUUCAGGAGGAUCACUAGACUCGAUGUAAAAUACUUUGGCCGCUAUGAGCAGGGCUGGAUAGAGUUCAGAAGUGAGAUCCGCCACAUCGAAAAGCCGAGUCGCAGACCAAACUUUCGAAGGCUAUAAUUUAGUCAUACGAUUCCUGAUUAAGAUGAUCUUUUUAAAAAAAUUAGGUAUCUUUUCGAGAUCUACAACUAAAAGUCAAAUCAAGCUGAAAUUCCAUCAUUUAGGUCCCAAAAUGGGUCAGUUAAACCGAAAGUUUUCUUUUCGGAUAAAACUUUAACCGAGCGUAACACUUUAUCCGAGAAUAAUCAGGCAGAGCGACAGAAAACGGAGUUGAUAUAGAAGUUAAGAUCUACCUCCUAGAAAUUUUUAGCUUUUUCUAGAUGAUUUCUACUAUAUAUGUCUAAUUAGAAAAAAGUCUUACUAGAAUUAGGAAGCAAAAUCCGGCCCAAAUUGUGUUAAGACGGACCUCACAUUAUAAAUAGAGUUUAUGUAUCUCAUUUUUAUUAAUCAUUUAUGGAAGAAAAGGGGACUUAAGCCCUACUCCCGAAAUUCCUCCAUCUUCUUCUUCUUUUUUGAGAGAGAUUCGAGUUGAGUGGGUUGAAGGAAUCUUCCUUCUUCUCAAUCGGAUCAUGCAAGGUUUGGGAAGAAUCAGACAUAUGCACCCUUACCCCUUAAUGUAGAGAGCCUGUAAGUAAAAAAAAUGACAGCCAGCAAGGCGGUUUAUAACAUAGCCACACACAUUGCACUUGAAAUAUUGAAUCAAGAUAUGUACCCACUUAUGAAUGCACUUGAAAUAUUGAAUUCUUGACUAUUUCAAGUCAGCUCUUUGAAUCCUUCUUCAUUAUUAAUUGCUAUCAUAGGUCAUGUCCUACUACUUCAAACUUCAAAUUUUCUUUUUUUUAACAACUCUCAUUCAUGCUGUCAUGCUCUCUCGAUGAAUCAUUGAAACAAAAACUAGUAUUUUUCAAAGCCACCUUGGACAACAAUUGUACAUGUGGAUGUUAACUUAAUUAUCUAUAACUUUAUCAACUAGUGCAGCACCUAUGCACCAUGAAUGUACUAAUUUCUUAUUUUAUCAUCAACUAGUGCAGCCUUCCCUAUUUUACAACACAUCACAUAAGCAUUAUUAUCUUUCAUCAUCAACCUUAAAGAUAUAUCGGUUUAUCAUCCAACGUUUUUAGCUACAUAGUGUGAUUUAUUGUUGAUAUCAAUCGGUCAUCUCUUAAACGCAUUCAACAAUCACCUAAAACACAAA
rnacentral:lncRNA from 1 species